rnacentral:rRNA from 1 species
AAAGCGUGCGCAGGCGGUUGUGCAAGACAGAUGUGAAAUCCCCGGGCUCAACCUGGGAAUUGCAUUUGUGACUGCACGGCUAGAGUGUGUCAGAGGGGGGUAGAAUUCCACGUGUAGCAGUGAAAUGCGUAGAUAUGUGGAGGAAUACCGAUGGCGAAGGCAGCCCCCUGGGAUAACACUGACGCUCAUGCACGAAAGCGUGGGGAGCAAACAGGAUUAGAUACCCCAGU